UACGUAGGGUGCAAGCGUUGUCCGGAAUUAUUGGGCGUAAAGAGCUCGUAGGCGGUUUGUCACGUCGGAUGUGAAACCCUGAGGCUCAACCUCAGGCCUGCAUUCGAUACGGGCAGACUAGAGUUCGGCAGGGGAGACUGGAAUUCCUGGUGUAGCGGUGAAAUGCGCAGAUAUCAGGAGGAACACCGGUGGCGAAGGCGGGUCUCUGGGCCGUAACUGACGCUGAGGAGCGAAAGCGUGGGGAGCGAACAGG
rnacentral:rRNA from 1 species